rnacentral:rRNA from 1 species
UACAGAGGCCUCGAGCGUUAGGCGGAAUCACUGGGCUUAAAGCGUGUGUAGGCGGAUUGUUAAGUACCUUGUGAAAUCCCACGGCUUAACCGUGGAACUGCUUGGUAUACUGGCGGUCUUGAGCCAGCUAGGGGCUACCGGAACAAAUGGUGGAGCGGUGAAAUGCGUAGAUAUCAUUUGGAACGCCAAUGGUGAAAACAGGUAGCUGGGGCUGUGCUGACGCUGAGACACGAAGCCAGGGAGCAAACGGG